rnacentral:rRNA from 1 species
GUCUUAUUGAUAAUAAUUUUAAGUCAAUCUGCCCAAUGAAUAUUUAAAUGGCUGCAGUAUAUCUGACUGUACAAAGGUAGCAUAAUCAAUUGGUUUUUAAAUGAAAUCUAGAAUGAAAGGAUUAAUGAAAUAUAUACUGUCUCAUAUUUAUUUAAUGAAUUUAAAAUUUUAAUAAAAAUGUUAAAAUUUUUUUAUGGGACGAUAAGACCCUAUAGAAUUUUAUAUUAAUUUAAUUUUAUAUAAUAAUUAUAAAAUUUAAUUUAAUAUUUAGUUGGGAGAAUUAUUAAAUUUAAUAAAUUUUAAUUAAUAUAAACUUAGAUUAAAGAAAAUUUUUUGAUUUUUAAUUUAAAAUUAUUAGAUUAAAUUACCUUAGGGAUAACAGCGUAAUAUUUUUUUAUAGAUCUUAUAGAAAAAAAUGAUUGCGACCUCGAUGUUGAAUUAAGAUAAAUUUUAAACGUAGAAGUUUAAUAAUUAAGUCUGUUCGACUUUUAAAAUCUUACAUGAUUUGAGUUCAAAUCGACGUAAGU